UUGGUAAGAAUAGCUUGCCCUGUGCGCGC
rnacentral:piRNA from 1 species